rnacentral:rRNA from 1 species
UACGUAGGGUGCAAGCGUUAAUCGGAAUUACUGGGCGUAAAGCGUGCGCAGGCGGUUUUGUAAGCCCGGUGUGAAAUCCCCGGGCUCAACCUGGGAAUGGCAUUUGGGACUGCAAGGCUGGAGUGCGGCAGAGGAGACUGGAAUUCCUGGUGUAGCAGUGAAAUGCGUAGAUAUCAGGAGGAAUACCGAUGGCGAAGGCAGGUCUCUGGGCUGACACUGACGCUCAUGCACGAAAGCGUGGGGAGCAAACAGG